rnacentral:rRNA from 1 species
AGUGGACACACCUGUACUCAUACCGAACACAGAAGUUAAGCACUCCAGCGGCGAAAAUAGUUGGGCUUGCCCCUGCGAAGACAGCACGCUGCCAGGU